UGAGGAAUAUUGGUCAAUGGGCGAGAGCCUGAACCAGCCACGUCGCGUGAAGGAAGACUGACCUUACGGUUUGUAAACUUCUUUUGUAGAGGGGUAAUGGCAGAUACGUGUAUUUGCGUGAAAGUACUCUACGAAUAAGCAUCGGCUAACUCCGUGCCAGCAGCCGCGGUAAUACGGGGGAUGCGAGCGUUAUCCGGAAUUAUUGGGUUUAAAGGGUGCGCAGGUGGCUAAUCAGGUCAGUGGUGAAAAGCUAUGGCUCAACCAUGGUCUUGCCAUUGAAACCGUAUAGCUAGAGAGGUGACGAGGUAGGCGGAAUGUGUGGUGUAGCGGUGAAAUGCAUAGAUAUCACACAGAACUCCGAUUGCGAAGGCAGCUUACCAGGCUUUAUCUGACACUUAGGCACGACAGCGUGGGGAUCAAACAGG
rnacentral:rRNA from 1 species